GGAUCUUUGCAAACACAAUCACGUUCUUAAAUGGAAAUGCGGGGCUUUAAACAAAUCUUACAUCUCUCCUGUUCCAGUCGCCUAAAAGUCCGCAAUCAGGCGCAUGUUCCACUCCUUCUAAAACCGAAGCUUUUUGCUACAGUGGGACGCAUUUUACGAUUUAUUCAUUUCAAUCCCUGGACUAGAGCACGAUUUAACGAGUUCCAAACCUUCCAUCUAACUCCGUGACGGGCUUGAAAGCAUCAGGCUUGGGAUGCCUAAGCCCCUUCUCAGCUUCUGUCUACCUGUCUGCUGGGGUGUUGGUGCCUGGGCUUCAACCAUCAGCCCUAACCUGUGUGGCUUCCUGUCCGUCCACAGAGGGACCCAAUCCUCUACUUUGAAUUCAAAGGGGCCUGAAGACAACACAGCCUCACGCAGGCUCAGCAACACGCAGGUUACGACCCCAACAGGACAUACCACGCCACCCGGCGGGCUGAGUUGUUACGCACUACACGUAGGUGUGUGUGUGUAAGCCACAGGAGGUUGGUGACACCUUAAUUGGGGCGGAUGGGCUUGUGGUUAGAGCUGGAGCAGAAUCAUGGUUUCCAUGUGUUUGAUGUGCUGAGCUGUCCUCCCCUCAGCAGCCUCCGCUGGUGUAAGCAUAUUGCCCCCUGCCGAAUGUCCAUCCGCCCUGCGUCUCCCCCUCAGCCCACCCAUCCUUCCUGUAAAAACUGACUAUGUAACAACAUACUAUGUGUGUGUUAAACAGAGAGCAGGACAGCAGGCAGAGAGAGAGAGAGAGAGAGAGAGAGAGA